rnacentral:rRNA from 1 species
GAUGAACGCUGGCGGCGUGCUUAACACAUGCAAGUCGAACGAUGAAGCCCAGCUUGCUGGGUGGAUUAGUGGCGAACGGGUGAGUAACACGUGAGUAACCUGCCCUUAACUCUGGGAUAAGCCUGGGAAACAUGGGUCUAAUACCGGAUAGGAGCGCCCACCGCAUGGUGGGUGUUGGAAAGAUUUAUCGGUUUUGGAUGGACUCGCGGCCUAUCAGCUUGUUGGUGAGGUAAUGGCUCACCAAGGCGACGACGGGUAGCCGGCCUGAGAGGGUGACCGGCCACACUGGGACUGAGACACGGCCCAGACUCCUACGGGAGGCAGCAGUGGGGAAUAUUGCACAAUGGGCGAAAGCCUGAUGCAGCGACGCCGCGUGAGGGAUGACGGCCUUCGGG